GAUGAACGCUGGCGGCGUGCCUAAUACAUGCAAGUCGAGCGAACGGACGAGAAGCUUGCUUCUCUGAUGUUAGCGGCGGACGGGUGAGUAACACGUGGAUAACCGACCUAUAAGACUGGGAUAACUUCGGGAAACCGUAGCUAAUACCGGAUAAUAUUUUGAACCGCAUGGUUCAAAAGUGAAAGACGGUCUUGCUGUCACUUAUAGAUGGAUCCGCGCUGCAUUAGCUAGUUGGUAAGGUAACGGCUUACCAAGGCAACGAUGCAUAGCCGACCUGAGAGGGUGAUCGGCCACACUGGGACUGAGACACGGUCCAGACUCCUACGGGAGGCAGCAGUAGGGAAUCUUCGACAAUGGGCGAAAGCCUGACGGAGCAACGCCGCGUGAGUGAUGAAGGUCUUCGGAUCGUAAAACUCUGUUAUUAGGGAAGAACAUAUGUGUAAGUAACUGUGCACAUCUUGACGGUACCUAAUCAGAAAGCAACGGCUAACUACGUG
rnacentral:rRNA from 1 species